GCAAAACUGCAGAUAAGUGAGGACUACUGUAUAAACAAAUUUUUUCAAAAGUAUAUAAAUUUGAAUUUCUUAAAGCAAUGGGAUUUGACCGAUAUAAAAUGGUGGUGCAAGUAGUUAUUGGAGAACAAAGAGGUGAAGGAGUAUUCAUGGCUGCCCGCUGUUUCUGGGAUGCUGACACUGACAACUACAUUCAUGAUGUUUUUAUGAAUGACAGUUUGUUCUGUGUUGUAGCAGCAUUUGGCUGUUUCUACUAUUGAAAAUUUGAAAGCUGGGAAAAGGUAUGACUAUGAAGAAAUAUGAACUUUUUUAUAUUGUUAAAUAUCUUGACAAAAUAAAGAUAACUUGGCAGUUUGGCAACUGA